UUAGAUGUAGGCCUACCAUCAGCAGAGAUACAAUACUGUUGCUUGCAUGUCCUCUUGUUAUAAUAUUAAUAAAUCUGGAAAAAAGAAACUUGGCAUUUUAUUUAAAAUUUGAGAACUUAGCACAAAUUGAUAAUUAGAUUUGUACAAAAGCAUGCCUGUCGAAAUUCACGUUUGUUGAUCAUCGGGCCAAGAAUCGCUGACAGUCAAAAGUUUAUGCCCUAUUGAACGAUCAGUAAUUCGUCUUCCCACAAAAUAAUAUCAUGAGCCAGUUGUCUUUCAAGGCAAAAGAAAAAAUUUUUUUUUUUACUUUGGUUUGAUUUAUGCAAGAUUGGGUAGAUUCUUUUUUCUCAUAUGUUGUUAUCUGUAUAAUAAAAAAUAGAGAGGACAAAGACAGCUUCACCUUAUGCGGCGAGAAGUAGAACGCUUUUGAUUGCUGCCUAUGAAUGGGAUUGUAAAGGCUGAGCAAUUUCUUAAGCAAUAUAUGUGUUCCCACAAUUGAUGAACCAGAAUUAAGCGCAAUAUCUUUAACCAGAACUUUUUUUUUCUUUCUAUCACUUUAGAUAAAAGCCACCAACAACAAUAUUCUUUAGCAGUGUUGGCAGGAUUUGAUAGGGCACGACUGGUGUUCCGUUAUUGGGAAUCUGACUGGUUUUUAUUGCAAUUCUAGACCAGUUUCUAGGGUCAUUAUUUCAACAGCUAAAAUGCUAGGAAUUUUUUUUUUUUUUUUUUAACUUUUAAAUGAGCAGUAGUAGCGGUAUGCUUGUCCUUGCAGAUAACAUGUCCGUUUGGAUAGACUGAAGUGAGGAAAAAAGCCUCAAGUUCAAUUCCUAUUUGCCCAGUUUUGUUCAAUCUUUUAGAGCAUAAUGUCUGUUGUUCAAUGGAACUAUACCAGAGCAGCAGCAGUGGCGGAUCCAAGUGAAAAGGUAGGGUAUCCAUGGAAAACAAGAAAAUUAAAAAAAUUAAAAUUCAAUGGACACCCCACAGUUUUUCCCUGAACAUCCUUUCCAUCUGUUAAAAUUUUUUUGGUAAUACUUCAUAUAUAUUAUAAGUUGACAUCUAAAAAAAAAUCCUGAAUCCGCCGUUUGUCCAGCAGUAAAUAGAAGCAUACAAGAUUUUCCCACAGGAUUAACCAAGUAGGCAAGUGGUAUCUGCCCAGUUUCAAAUUCCUGAAGCUUGACUGGCAAUCGAUUUACGAGCAGCCUAAUGGUUGAUAAUUACCCAGAAUACAUUAAAAAUAAUAAUAAUAAUACUCACUGGCUCCCCAUAAAUAUUGCACCUUUGCAUGAUAGAAGAAAGCCUUAAAUCCCAUCUGGGCAUGAAAAAAAGGCCUCAUCGAGCUAUUCGAAGUCCUAUUGAAUAUCAAAUGCUUUUAGACCAAUCCGUUCUGAAGCAAACAUACGUGGCUGAACAAACAUCUCUGGUGGGAUAGACAAGUGUUUGCAAUUUACUUGUUUUAAUCAUAAACGCAUCCCUAGAUUGCAAGGAAUAAAAAAUGUGACAGGUAAGUACGCAAUUGCUACCCCCACACGCUUGCUGCAGCCUGCAGGAUGCCGUUUAUGGGGAAAUUGAAUGGGAAUUUCAAAGACUUUAUUGUAGCUAUUUGCCUGAAAAACAUGCUUUCACUGUUUUGGAACAAUGAGACCAAAUCUGUCAGCAUUUCAGUCCCUUCAAGGCUAGCAAUGCCUGAUCCAAUUUUUUUUUUUUUGUCUAUAGAAAGCAAAAAGUUUCAAAGACCUUCGGCAGGACAUAUUUGCGUAGAGGAUAUUGAUGAGGAACUGUGAGGGGACAAGUUUAUUCUUGGAAUAUACUUCCACAUUGUUGAAAUGACCUGCUUCUUAAUCUAUAGCAAAAGGGAGCAUUCUCAAGCUGCCCAGCUAAGGGGUUUGCAAAAAUAUUUAACCACAUUUGGUAGGGAAUGAGAGAAGUGGAAAUGUGCAAAUAUGCAAAAUCGUUUGGUCCAACAAAUAACUAGAUUUUCUUUUUGUUUGGAGUACACACCCAAAAAAAAAAAAAA